UACGUAGGUGGCAAGCGUUGUUCGGAAUUAUUGGGCGUAAAGGGCGCGUAGGCGGCCUGUUAAGUCGGCUGUGAAAGCCCGGGGCUCAACCCCGGAAAGUCGGCCGAUACUGGCAAGCUAGAGUACGGAAGAGGUAGCUGGAAUUCUCGGUGUAGCGGUGAAAUGCGCAGAUAUCGGGAAGAACACCCGUGGCUAAGGCGGCUCUCUAGUACGGUACUGACGCUGAGACGCGAAAGCGUGGGGAGCGAACAGG
rnacentral:rRNA from 1 species